ensembl:lncRNA
UGCCAUUCAACUGUAUGAAGCCCAUAUUCAGCCUGUUGACUUCGAGUCUGCUGUAUCCCUGCCAUUCAACUGUAUGGAGAGAAGUGUUCGUUCCUUCCACUGCCUGUGAACUGUAUACUUGCCUGAAACAUCCAUUCUGUCCGUCUCAGAAGAAGCCCCAUUCAGCCUGUUGACUUCGAGCCUGCUGUAUCCCUGCUACUCAUCUGUAUGAGGAAGCCCCAUUCAGCCUGUUGACUUCGAGUCUGCUGUAUCCCUGCUAUUCAUCCGUAUUGUGAGAAGUGUUCGUUCCUUCCAACGCAUGUGAACUGUAUACUUUGUCUGAAGCAUCCAUUCUGUCUGUUUCAGUAGAAACCCUGCACAGCCUGUUGACUUAAAGUUUGUUGCAUCCUUGUGGCCCACCUGUGCUGAGAGAGGUGACUGUCCUUUGUCACGAACGUGAGAGGGGCACGCUUUGUCUGGAAUAUCCACUCUGACGGUGUCAGGAGAAGCCACCUUACUGUAAGACCGUGCACCUGCCGUAUACGUACUUGACUGAUAUCAUUCGCCUCAAAUUCCGUACCUGUGGAAGAAGGAAGGAAGGCUGGAAUUACAUACUUACCGGAGGAGACUUACCGGACCCCUCACUUGCCAAACACAUCCCCACCUCAAGGCUGUGUAUCUGCCGUGUACGGACCUGACCGAUAUCCAUCCGUCCCAAAUUCUGCAUCUGUGAAGAAGGGAAGGGAGUUUGGAAGUAUUUAAUUACCAGAGGAGACUUACCAGACUGCGGGCUUGCCGAUUGUAUUCCCACCUGUGAAAUGCCUACUUGACCACCCAUCUGUCCAUCUAUUGCGGGGCCCGCACAGAGGAAGAGGGCGGGAGAGUCCCCGGUCGCUGCAUUGUUUACCUUCAAGCCCUGAGGGUAACAAAGAAGAUUUUAGUUUAGGAUUCCCAAUUUGUUUUUACUUCAAAAUAAAACUUGUUAAAUUUAUUCUCUGUCUCCGACUCUUCCCUCUGAUACGCUCCUCGAGGUGGUCCUGGUUUAGGGGAGGGCGCAGUCCAGCUUGGCCCCCCUGACCUGUGACAUAAGAUAUGUAAUAUAAGAUUACAUUUAUAUUACAUAUCUUUAGAUGUAAUUGUAAGAUAUGUAUGUAAGAUAAUACAGUUUGAGGUUUGAAUCGCACAAGAGGCUCCAC